GUAGGGAAUCUUGCGCAAUGGGCGAAAGCCUGACGCAGCCAUGCCGCGUGAAUGAUGAAGGUCUUAGGAUUGUAAAAUUCUUUCACCGGGGACGAUAAUGACGGUACCCGGAGAAGAAGCCCCGGCUAACUUCGUGCCAGCAGCCGCGGUAAUACGAAGGGGGCUAGCGUUGCUCGGAAUUACUGGGCGUAAAGGGAGCGUAGGCGGAUAGUUUAGUCAGAGGUGAAAGCCCAGGGCUCAACCUUGGAAUUGCCUUUGAUACUGGCUGUCUUGAGUUUGGGAGAGGUGAGUGGAACUCCGAGUGUAGAGGUGAAAUUCGUAGAUAUUCGGAAGAACACCAGUGGCGAAGGCGACUCACUGGCCCAAUACUGACGCUGAGGCGCGAAAGCGUGGGGAGCAAACAGGAUUAGAUACCCCUGUAGUCC
rnacentral:rRNA from 1 species